UGCUCCUUGCAGACAAGACAAAGCAAUGGUCAAAGCAAACCAAAACUAAUAAACAAACAGCCACCAGUGCAGGGGACGCAACAAACAGCAAGCAUAUCAGGUCCUUGUGUUAACUGUCACACUCAAUCCAGCCAGCUUCAUUCCACACAAAAAGGAAAUAUGUGCAGUGCUUGCUAUCAAUUUUUAAGACGAACAGGAACCUUACGACAAAGACACGAGGGAAGGGAAACAAGGAUCACACUAUGUCACA